UCAUCUAAGGCGUUACUUCAAUUGCAUGAAAUACCGACGUUUGUAUGAAUUAAAAGUGCAGUGUUAUGUCUAUGCAUUUUUAAAAUUCCUGUUGUGGUUGAUGUGGGAUUUGUAAAGUAAUGAUAAUUCAAUAAUCCAAUACGUUUUAUGGAGAGCAAUUAUUACAUUAAUCUAAUUAGGUUUUUAAAAGUUACCCAAAACACGUAAUAAUAUAAGAAAUUAAUUUCAGUUUUUAUGUAGGCGCAAUCCUGCAGACAUAGAAGAACGUGGCUAAAAAUGAAAUGUAAAAACAUAAUUCAAACAGGUAUAAGGCACCAUCAUGUUAUGGGUGUAGACUAACUGACUUUACAAUAUUUGACAUAUUAAAUAACUAAAUAGCAUGCAGAGUAUAGUAGUGCAGCAGCAUUUUCAACAUGGCUGUAAUGUUUUCACACAGUUAAACAUUUGACUUCUACUCAGCCAACAGAAAGAAGGCAGAGGCUAGAACAACUGGUGGAGGACCUGCACCUCCACCUCUGACGCAUGCAGAGGAGAAGGCACUCAGCCUGAACACUGGAAAGCAGGGGCUGAAGGAAUUCAUCAGAACCCGUCACUCCCCAGGAUACAAGUGCAUGUGUAAAAUAUUCUGAUGGUAAUAUAUGAAUCCUCCUGUCACAACAGAAGCCCAGGAUGUUAGUGUGAAAGAACAGCAGGAGGAGGUCAGUCACAUUCUGCUGCACAGAUGCACACAGUUCAGUGAUGUUCAGUAAAUGCCAGAGUUCAGUUCUGUAAGAGUAAUAAGGAACAUGUCAUGUCAAGAUGUCACUCUAAAUCUUCUGUAUUUUAAGUUACCGGUUAUUGAGUUGUAUAAAGUAAAUCUCAAGGAAAUGUUAUACUUGUACCACAAGAUUGAAAAGCCAGAUAUAGAAAUUAAAAUUCCCAAACACACGCUGGAGAUGAGUGUAUAGUUAAAGGUGAAUAGUAUGAAUUAUUGGAAGAAUCAUAAAAUCUAACAAUUGCCUUAUAGGAAAUGAAAAAAAACAAAUAAAUUAUGAUUUACAUCUAUUCAGUUUCUUUUAUUGGUGGUGGUGGUGGUGGUGGUGA